rnacentral:rRNA from 1 species
UACGUAGGUGGCAAGCGUUGUCCGGAUUUACUGGGUGUAAAGGGCGCGUAGGCGGGUAGACAAGUCAGAUGUGAAAUACCGCAGCUUAACUGCGGAGCUGCAUUUGAAACUGCCUAUCUUGAGUAUCGGAGAGGCAGGCGGAAUUCCUAGUGUAGCGGUGAAAUGCGUAGAUAUUAGGAGGAACACCAGUGGCGAAGGCGGCCUGCUGGACGACAACUGACGCUGAGGCGCGAAAGCGUGGGGAGCAAAC